rnacentral:rRNA from 1 species
CCCAAUGUGGCUGAUCAUCCUCUCAGACCAGCUACUGAUCGUCGCCUUGGUAGGCCGUUACCCUACCAACUAGCUAAUCAGACGCGGGCCGAUCUUUCGGCGAUAAAUCUUUCCCCGUAAGGGCUUAUCCGGUAUUAGCACAAGUUUCCCUGUGUUGUUCCGAACCAAAAGGUACGUUCCCACGCGUUACUCACCCGUCUGCCGCUGACGUANUUUACGCCCGCUCGACUUGCAUGUGUUAAGCCUGCCG